UACGGAGGGAGCUAGCGUUGUUCGGAAUUACUGGGCGUAAAGCGCACGUAGGCGGCUUUGUAAGUUAGAGGUGAAAGCCCGGGGCUCAACCCCGGAAUUGCCUUUAAGACUGCAUCGCUUGAAUCCAGGAGAGGUGAGUGGAAUUCCGAGUGUAGAGGUGAAAAUUUCGUAGAUAUUCGGAAGAACACCAGUGGCGAAGGCGGCUCACUGGACUGGUAUUGACGCUGAGG
rnacentral:rRNA from 1 species